rnacentral:rRNA from 1 species
CCUGGUUGAUCCUGCCAGUAGUCAUAUGCUUGUCUCAAAGAUUAAGCCAUGCAUGUCUAAGUAUAAGUUUUUUACUGCGAAACUGUGAAUGGCUCAUUAUAACAGUUAUUAUUUCCUAGCCGGUCAGUUAUUCCUUGGAUACCCAUGGUAAUUCUAGAGCUAAUACAUGCUUACAGACCCAACUUCACGGAAGGGUUGCGCUUAUUAGAUACCGAACCAACCCCGCAAGGGAUUUAGUUGAUUCAUAGUGUUCUGGCGAAUCGACUUCUAGUCGAUGAGGCUAUCAAGUUUCUGACCUAUCAGCUUCCGACGGUAGGGUAUUGGCCUACCGUGGCUUUGACGGGUAACGGAGAAUUAGGGUUCGAUUCCGGAGAGGGAGCCUGAGAAACGGCUACCACAUCUAAGGAAGGCAGCAGGCGCGUAAAUUACCCAAUCCUGACACAGGGAGGUAGUGACAAGAAAUAUCAAUAUAAGACUUUUGUGUCUUGUAAUUGGGAUGAGCGGAACUUAAAUCGCUUCUCGAGUAUCAAUUGGAGGGCAAGUCUGGUGCCAGCAGCCGCGGUAAUUCCAGCUCCAAUAGCGUAUAUUAAAAUUGUUGCGGUUAAAACGCUCGUAGUUGGAUAUCUGUGAGCGGGUUUCGGUCCUUCCCAGUGAAGAUUACACGGAACUCUGCUCGCAUUUGUUCAGGGAGGGUGGAUGCACUUCACUGUGUGACCACAUGAUCUGAAUUUUUACUUUGAGGAAAUGAGAGUGUUCCAAGCAGGCAAUUGCCGUGAAUAUGAUAGCAUGGAAUAAUAGCACAGGACUCUUGGUUCAAUGCUGUUGGUUUGUUGAACUAGAGUAAUCACAAUAAGGAUAGUUGGGGGUAUUCGUAUUUAACUGUCAGAGGUGAAAUUCUUGGAUUUUUUAAAGACGAACAAUUGCGAAGGCAUCUACCCAGGAUGUUUUUGUUGAUCAAGAACGAAAGUUAGGGGAUCGAAGACGAUCAGAUACCGUCCUAGUCUUAACCUUAAACUAUGCCGGCUGGAGAUUGGGGUCGUCAGAUUUGUGACGUCCUCAGCAUCCUAUGAGAAAUCUAAGUCUUUGGGUUCCGGGGGGAGUAUGGUCGCAAGGCUGAAACUUAAAGGAAUUGACGGAAGGGCACCACCAGGAGUGGAGCCUGCGGCUUAAUUUGACUCAACACGGGAAAACUCACCAGGUCCAGACAUAGAUAGGAUUGACAGACUGAUAGCUCUUUCUUAAUUCUAUGGGUGGUGG